GACACACUAUCAUUAACUGAAUCCAUAGGUUAAUGAGGCGAACCGGGGGAACUGAAACAUCUAAGUACCCCGAGGAAAAGAAAUCAACCGAGAUUCCCCCAGUAGCGGCGAGCGAACGGGGAGGAGCCCAGAGCCUGAAUCAGUGUGUGUGUUAGUGGAAGCGUCUGGAAAGGCGCGCGAUACAGGGUGACAGCCCCGUACACAAAAAUGCACAUAUUGUGAGCUCGAUGAGUAGGGCGGGACACGUGGUAUCCUGUCUGAAUAUGGGGGGACCAUCCUCCAAGGCUAAAUACUCCUGACUGACCGAUAGUGAACCAGUACCGUGAGGGAAAGGCGAAAAGAACCCCGGCGAGGGGAGUGAAAAAGAACCUGAAACCGUGUACGUACAAGCAGUGGGAGCCUCUUAAUGGGGUGACUGCGUACCUUUUGUAUAAUGGGUCAGCGACUUAUAUUCUGUAGCAAGGUUAACCGAAUAGGGGAGCCGAAGGGAAACCGAGUCUUAACUGGGCGUUAAGUUGCAGGGUAUAGACCCGAAACCCGGUGAUCUAGCCAUGGGCAGGUUGAAGGUUGGGUAACACUAACUGGAGGACCGAACCGACUAAUGUUGAAAAAUUAGCGGAUGACUUGUGGCUGGGGGUGAAAGGCCAAUCAAACCGGGAGAUAGCUGGUUCUCCCCGAAAGCUAUUUAGGUAGCGCCUCGUGAAUUCAUCUCCGGGGGUAGAGCACUGUUUCGGCAAGGGGGUCAUCCCGACUUACCAACCCGAUGCAAACUGCGAAUACCGGAGAAUGUUAUCACGGGAGACACACGGCGGGUGCUAACGUCCGUCGUGAAGAGGGAAACAACCCAGACCGCCAGCUAAGGUCCCAAAGUCAUGGUUAAGUGGGAAACGAUGUGGGAAGGCCCAGACAGCCAGGAUGUUGGCUUAGAAGCAGCCAUCAUUUAAAGAAAGCGUAAUAGCUCACUGGUCGAGUCGGCCUGCGCGGAAGAUGUAACGGGGCUAAACCAUGCACCGAAGCUGCGGCAGCGACACUAUGUGUUGUUGGGUAGGGGAGCG
rnacentral:rRNA from 1 species